AAAUUGAAGAGUUUGAUCAUGGCUCAGAUUGAACGCUGGCGGCAGGCCUAACACAUGCAAGUCGAACGGUAACAGGAAGCAGCUUGCUGCUUUGCUGACAAGUGGCGGACGGGUGAGUAAUGUCUGGGAAACUGCCUGAUGGAGGGGGAUAACUACUGGAAACGGUAGCUAAUACCGCAUAACGUCGCAAGACCAAAGAGGGGGACCUUCGGGCCUCUUGCCAUUGGAUGUGCCCAGAUGGGAUUAGCUAGUAGGUGGGGUAACGGCUCACCUAGGCGACGAUCCCUAGCUGGUCUGAGAGGAUGACCAGCCACACUGGAACUGAGACACGGUCCAGACUCCUACGGGAGGCAGCAGUGGGGAAUAUUGCACAAUGGGCGCAAGCCUGAUGCAGCCAUGCCGC
rnacentral:rRNA from 1 species